rnacentral:rRNA from 1 species
GAUGAACGCUGGCGGCGUGCUUAACACAUGCAAGUCGAACGGGAAUUAUUUUAUUGAAACAUCGGUCGAUUUAAUUUAAUUCUAGUGGCGGACGGGUGAGUAACGCGUGGGUAACCUGCCUUAUACAGGGGGAUAACAGUCAGAAAUGGCUGCUAAUACCGCAUAAGCGCACAGAGCUGCAUGGCUCAGUGUGAAAAACUCCGGUGGUAUAAGAUGGACCCGCGUUGGAUUAGCUUGUUGGCAGGGUAACGGCCUACCAAGGCGACGAUCCAUAGCCGGCCUGAGAGGGUGAACGGCCACAUUGGGACUGAGACACGGCCCAGACUCCUACGGGAGGCAGCAGUGGGGAAUAUUGCACAAUGGGGGAAACCCUGAUGCAGCGACGCCGCGUGAAGGAAGAAGUAUCUCGGUAUGUAAACUUCUAUCAGCAGGGAAGAUAGUGACGGUACCUGACUAAGAAGCCCCGGCUAACUACGUG